rnacentral:rRNA from 1 species
GACGAACGCUGGCGGCGUGCUUAACACAUGCAAGUCGAGCGGUAAGGCCCUUUCGGGGGUACACGAGCGGCGAACGGGUGAGUAACACGUGGGUGACCUGCCCUCAGCUCUGGGAUAAGCCUGGGAAACCGGGUCUAAUACUGGAUAUGACUCCAUGACGCAUGUUGUGGGGUGGAAAGCCUUGUGCGGCUGAGGAUGGGCCCGCGGCCUAUCAGCUUGUUGGUGGGGUGANGGCCUACCAAGGCGACGACGGAUAGCCGGCCUGAGAGGGCGACCGGCCACACUGGGACUGAGACACGGCCCAGACUCCUACGGGAGGCAGCAGUGGGGAAUCUUGCGCAAUGGGCGAAAGCCUGACGCAGCGACGCCGCGUGAGGGAUGACGGCCCU